UACGUAAGGGGCAAGCGUUGUCCGGAAUCACUGGGCGUAGAGGGCGCGUAGGCGGUUUGAUAAGUAGAAGGUGAAAGAUUCGGGCUCAACUCGAAAACUGCCUUCUAAACUGUCUUACUUGAGGGUCUGAGGGGAAGCUGGAAUUCACGGUGUAGCGGUGAAAUGCGUAGAUAUCGUGGAGAACACCCGUGGCGAAAGCGGGCUUCUGGCAGACUCCUGACGCUGAGGCGCGAAGGCUAGGGGAGCAAACGGG
rnacentral:misc_RNA from 1 species